GAUGAACGCUGGCGGCGUGCCUAAUACAUGCAAGUCGAGCGAACGGACGAGAAGCUUGCUUCUCUGAUGUUAGCGGCGGACGGGUGAGUAACACGUGGAUAACCUACCUAUAAGACUGGGAUAACUUCGGGAAACCGGAGCUAAUACCGGAUAAUAUUUUGAACCGCAUGGUUCAAAAGUGAAAGACGGUCUUGCUGUCACUUAUAGAUGGAUCCGCGCUGCAUUAGCUAGUUGGUAAGGUAACGGCUUACCAAGGCAACGAUGCAUAGCCGACCUGAGAGGGUGAUCGGCCACACUGGAACUGAGACACGGUCCAGACUCCUACGGGAGGCAGCAGUAGGGAAUCUUCCGCAAUGGGCGAAAGCCUGACGGAGCAACGCCGCGUGAGUGAUGAAGGUCUUCGGAUCGUAAAACUCUGUUAGUAGGGAAGAACAUAUGUGUAAGUAACUGUGCACAUCUUGACGGUACCUAAACAGAAAGCCACGGCUAACUACGUG
rnacentral:rRNA from 1 species